AGAGUUUGAUCCUGGCUCAGAUUGAACGCUGGCGGCAUGCCUUACACAUGCAAGUCGAACGGCAGCACGGAGCUUGCUCUGGUGGCGAGUGGCGAACGGGUGAGUAAUAUAUCGGAACGUACCCUAGAGUGGGGGAUAACGUAGCGAAAGUUACGCUAAUACCGCAUACGAUCUAAGGAUGAAAGUGGGGGAUCGCAAGACCUCAUGCUCGUGGAGCGGCCGAUAUCUGAUUAGCUAGUUGGUAGGGUAAAAGCCUACCAAGGCAUCGAUCAGUAGCUGGUCUGAGAGGACGACCAGCCACACUGGAACUGAGGCACGGUCCAGACUCCUACGGGAGGCGGCAGUGGGGAAUUUUGGACAAUGGGCGAAAGCCUGAUCCAGCAAUGCCGCGUGAGUGAAGAAGGCCUUCGGGUUGUAAAGCUCUUUUGUCAGGGAAGAAACGGUGGGAGCUAAUAUCUCUUGCUAAUGACGGUACCUGAAGAAUAAGCACCGGCUAACUACGUGCCAGCAGCCGCGGUAAUACGUAGGGUGCAAGCGUUAAUCGGAAUUACUGGGCGUAAAGCGUGCGCAGGCGGUUUUGUAAGUCUGAUGUGAAAUCCCCGGGCUCAACCUGGGAAUUGCAUUGGAGACUGCAAGGCUAGAAUCUGGCAGAGGGGGGUAGAAUUCCACGUGUAGCAGUGAAAUGCGUAGAUAUGUGGAGGAACACCGAUGGCGAAGGCAGCCCCCUGGGUCAAGAUAGACGCUCAUGCACGAAAGCGUGGGGAGCAAACAGGAUUAGAUACCCUGGUAGUCC
rnacentral:rRNA from 1 species